rnacentral:rRNA from 1 species
GACGAACGCUGGCGGCGUGCCUAAUACAUGCAAGUCGAACGCAGUGGGGACGGGUGAGUAACACGUGGGUAACCUCCCAUCAGAGGGGAUAACACUUGGAAACAGGUGCUAAACCGAUACUGAUGGAUGGACCCGCGGUGCAUUAGCUAGUUGGUGAGGUAACGGCUCACCAAGGCCACGAUCCAUAGCCGGCCUGGGAGGUUGAUCGGCCACACUGGGACGGAGAACGGGCCCAGACUCCUACGGGGGGCAGCAGUGGGGAAUAUUGGGCAAGGGAGGAAAGCCGGACGGAGCAACGCCGCGGGAGUGAAGAAGGUUUUCGGAUCGUAAAGUUCUUUUGUUAGAGAAGCGGUAUCAAACCAAAAAGCCCCGGCUAACUACGUGCCAGCAGCCGCGGUAAUAC